rnacentral:rRNA from 1 species
GAUGAACGCUGGCGGCGUGCCUAAUACAUGCAAGUCGAGCGAACAGAUGAGCAGCUUGCUGCUCUGACGUUAGACGCGGAUGGGGAAGUAACACGUAGAACACCAAUCUAUAAGACUCGACUAACUUCGGAAAACGGGAGCUAAUAUCUGAUAAUAGAUUGAACCGCAUGGUUCAAUAGUUGAUGGCGGUUUUGUUGUUACUUGUAGAUGGUUCGGUGCCGCAUUAGCAAGUUGGUAAGGGAAAGGCUUACCAAGGCAACGAUGAGUAGCGGACCUGAGAGGGUGAUCGGCGACACUGGAACUGGGACACGGUCCAGACUCCUACGGGAGGCGGCAGUAGGGAAUGGGCCGCAAUGGGCGAAAGCCGGACGGAGAAGCGCCGCGUGAGUGAUGAAGGUCUUCGGAUCGGAGUUCUCUGUUAUUUGGGAACAACAAGUAUGUAAGUAGUUGUGCACGUCGUGACGGUACCGGUACAAAAAGCCACGGCUAACUACGUG